rnacentral:piRNA from 1 species
UGGGCUUCAGUGUUCAGGUGAGCAAGGA